rnacentral:lncRNA from 13 species
ACUUGCUCAAUCCAAGGGGAGGAAAUUUAGGAAGAUAUAGGUGCAUCUUAUUAAGAGGGAAUGAAAACAAAAACUGAAAACUCAUCAGAAAUGAAGGUAAAAAGCUGGAGCAUCUUCCUUACUAGAGAACCAUGAUGUGAACACUCAGAGCUCUUUCUCCACUCUUUCUACCUCAAAGCCUACUGUGUGCAGUCAACACAGUCCAGAGCAGCAGAUUUGGUAGCUUCAUGAAAUUGGCAGGGUCCUAUCAUCCUGUGGCUGUUAUCCUAAGGUGUUAUCUUAGCCAAUGGUUGAGGAUAAGAUGACUUAUCACACCAGUGAAAAAUGGGAAAGAAGAUUGUAUUGGAAAUUGACUCUUUGGGUGUGGCAACUCUGUGGUAGAGACAAUGGAAUCACAGAAAAGAAAAGGGAGGCAAGUCCUGAAUCACACACCACAGUCAGAAAAAUGAAGAGAAACCAGCAGUGGAGUCUGAAAACAUGCAGACAGUGAAGGAUGAGGGGAAAGUGAUGUCCUGGAAGCCAAAUGAAGACAUUCUUUCAAAAAAGAGUGAUCAGAUACGUCAACUGCUGUGAGAUCAGUAAGAAGAGGAGCUUGAAGUAACCAUUUAUCCUGUUUUCCUUUAUUUAAUUUGUAUUUAUUUUUAUUAGUGAUAGGGUCUUGCUAUGUUGCUUGGGGUGGACUCAGACUCCUGGGCUCAAGCAGUCCUCCCAUCUCAGCUUCCUGAGUAGCUGGGACAACAGGCAUGUGCCACUGUGCUAGGCUUAAUAAUAAUUUAUUGGUCAGGCAGGAUAGUUCAUGUAAUCCCAGGAGUUUGGGAGGCAGAGGUGGAAGAUUCACUUGAGUCUGGGAGUUCAAGACCAGUCUCAGCAAUGUAGUGAAACCUCUUCUUUACAAAAUUAAAAAAUUAUCUGGGCAUAGUGGUGAAUGCUUGUGGUCCCAGCUACUCUGGAGGCUGAGGCAGGAGGAUUGCUUGAACCCAGGAGUUGGAGGCUGUAGUGAGCCAUGAUGCUGCCACUGUAUUCAUUCUGGGUGACACAGAACUUCUCUCAACAAAACUAAACAAAAUAAAUGUAUUUUGGUAUCAAGGAGGUGAUUGUAU